GGGGCACGGUUGGUGCCCUUGAGCGUCGUGUACCUAAAACAAGUAACCUGUCGCUUUACUGUUAUUGCGCUUCACGCAUGCAUACUGAAGUAAUAUUUGGUUUUAAACUAUUGCAGGACAAAGCGGUCGUAAGAGUGGCCGUGUGGAGGGAGGCCACCUUGACCCCGAUCAAGGUCGGGGCCUUCUACACAUUCACGCACCUCAGUGCCGUGAGAAAUGAUUUCGGCCUGUCCCUCAACACGACUCAGUAUUCCAAGAUAUCGUUAGGGGGUUCUACGAACCGAACAGUGCGCAACUGCUGUGCAUCUGGAGCGGCUAGCGUGCUAUCAGGCGGACCGGGCCAUUGUACGAGGGGGAACAUUGUGAGGAGGUGGAAUGGGCGUCCACAUCCGUGACUAAUGGUGCCGGGACUCUGAAGUGGGAUGCAAGCACUGCUCGCCUCUGCCGAAGUUUGUGAUCUCCAGGCUGUUGGGGUCCUGAACUCUCUCCCCUGUUGUUUACUUGUAUGUAACUGUCUCGUCACCGUGGGAUGGAGGAAAUGUAAAUUCGAUUUCUUUGUGUCUUGGCAUAAAGGAAUUGACAAUAAAGCUGACUCUGACUCUG